rnacentral:rRNA from 1 species
AGCCACUGCUAUUGGGAUCCGACUAAGCCAUGCGAGUCGAGAGGGUUCGGCCCUCGGCAGACUGCUCAGUAACACGUGGAUAAUCUACCCUUAGGUGGAGGAUACUCUCGGGAAACUGAGAAUAAUACUCCCUAGGUCUAGGAUGCUGGAAUGCACCUAGGUUGAAAGUUCCGGCGCCCCGGCGCCUAAGGACGAGUCUGCGGACUAUCAGGUAGUAGUCAGGGUAAAGACCUGACUAGCCUACGACGGAUACGGGUUGUGAGAGCAAUAGCCCGGAGACGAUAUCUGAGACACGAUAUCGGGCCCUACGGGGCGCAGCAGGCGCGAAAUCUUCACAAUGUGCGAAAGCACGAUGAGGGGAUCCCAAGUGUUGGUUCGUAAGAGCCAUCUGUUUCUUUGUCUAAAAAACAGAGAGAGUAAGAGCUGGGUAAGACGGGUGCCAGCCGCCGCGGUAAUACCUGCAGCUCAAGUGGUGGCCGCUAUAUUGGGCCUAAAACGUCCGUAGCCGGUUUAGUAAAUGCCUGGGUAAAUUGUGUAGCUCAACUAUACGAAUACCGGGUAGACUGCUAAACUUGAAACCGGGAGAGGCUAGAGGUACUCCUAGGGUAGAGGUGAAAUUCUGUAAUCCUAGGGGGACCACCAGUGGCGAAGGCGUCUAGCUAGAACGGGUUUGACGGUGAGGGACGAAGCCCUGGGGCGCAAACCGGAUUAGAUACCCGGGUAGUCCAGGGUGUAAACGCUGCUCGCUUGAUGUUAGUCGGGCUCCGAGCCCAACUAGUGUCGGAGGGAAGUUGUUAAGCGAGCUGCCUGGGAAGUACGGUCGCAAGGCUGAAACUUAAAGGAAUUGGCGGGGGAGCACAGCAACGGGUGGAGCGUGCGGUUUA